UGUUGAAAAUUUCAUUCAUUUCUAUCGUUUAAAAUUGGCAUGGUUGAAAGAAUAACCAAAUAGUGACACGUGACGUGCCAUUCAUACUUUAUGCUAACAUACAUGGACUAAUUUUUAAUAAUGGAUAAAAUUUUUAACA
rfam:Gossypium hirsutum cultivar TM-1 unplaced genomic scaffold scaffold141.1, whole genome shotgun sequence